UUUUGCAAACCCAGGUCAGAGUGGAAAAUUCCCCUAGGGCUCAGGCUGUGAGAAACAUCCUGCCGGGCAAGUCCUAAGCCCAACCGCCUGAUCUCAGGAAAUUCCUCACUUAGCAACAGCUAACCACCCUGCCCACCCCACUUCACAACAAGCCCAGAUCUCUCCCACCCGGACCUAAACUUACCCAGUCUGUAAGCGGGGGCGGGCUCUGGCCUUAGUUGGUGUCCCCCUCCGCGGGUGUUUGUUCGGUAAACCUGUGUUGCUGUAGAGCCGCCUCCGUCCGUUUUUCCUCCCGUUCCUGCGCUAACAAUGACAUUAUACCAAAUGUAACUGGGAACCAGGAAGAAGAACUUGAUAACAGGACCUUGCAUAAUUAAUCGAUUGAUCACUGAACUUCAUUGUCAUAUUUCUACGGUCAAAUUUUGGGAGAAAGCUGUCGCAAAUUCAUCAGAGUGUAGCAAUGCCCGAGUUGUAACUGAGUUCCAUCUGGAUAAAACCAAGAUAGAAAUUGUGCCUCAUAAUUGAUAUUUUGAGGAUUCCAUGAAGUAAUAAAUUUAUUAUGUGCUAAGAAAUAUGUGCCUGUCCCUAGGUAGCAAACUGCAACUUAACUUCAUAUGAAAACAAUCUACAACUGUAACAUAUUCUGUAACAAAUAACUGAGACUCAGUUAAUUAUAGCAGCUGGGCUUUAACCAGUCAUGGGAUGACAACUGAUCAGACCAUGUAUCUGUAUAAGGCAAGUGCUUCAUCACACCGUGGCUGAAUCAGACAAGAGACACACCUCUUAUUACAGAA
rnacentral:lncRNA from 1 species